rnacentral:rRNA from 1 species
CGCGUAGGCGGUCCCGCACGUCGGAGGUGAAAUCCCCGGGCUCAACCCGGGAGCUGCCUCCGAUACGGCAGGGCUUGAGUCCGGGAGAGGGGAGCAGAAUUCCCAGUGUAGCGGUGAAAUGCGUAGAUAUUGGGAGGAAUACCGGUGGCGAAGGCGGCUCCCUGGACCGGUACUGACGCUGAGGCGCGAAAGCGUGGGUAGCAAACAGGAUUAGAUACCCUGGUAGUCCACGCCGUAAACGAUGGGCGCUUGGUGUCGGGGGUAUCGACCCUCCGGUGCCGAAGCUAACGCAUUAAGCACCCCGCCUGGGGAGUACGGUCGCAAGGCUGAA